ACGUGUACCGGUUGAACACGGAGGUAGUGGUGAUAAUAUUUGACCGUGAAAGUAUACGGCGGCCUUUGACAAUACCAAGCCAAAUAUGUUUCACGGUCAAUCAGUCUGUCGGCUGAUUAGCUACGGUGGACAUUUGUUAAUGAGUCUGUGCGCUAUAUGGUAUUAUAACACCCGUUUACGUAAUCGACGUACGCGUGUUUUUUUGUUCUUUAUUACCAUAUUGUUGUUAUCCGGCCUAUUGUAUAUAGCCGUGAAAGACUUGUUUAAGAGUUGUGGUCUUAUUAAGUUUGGAGUUAUUGGUGAAAGCUUGAACACCGGUUUAUUCCGUUAUUGUUAGACUGUCAUUGUCAAAGUUGAAGCUACCACAUGAAAGACAUUCAAAACAGUAAAUAGAACGAGUUAAAUCCUGUUAUAAUAUUUUAUUUCUUUCUCACUAUGAAUCGAUGGAUGUAUGAUGGAACUUUGUACAAAUGUCAUUGUGGUUUAAAUAUUAUACUGAUCCAACGCGUUGUCGAUACUUUAAAUACAUGGCUGAAGAUUAUCACAACUGUAAUUGUCAUACCCAAGCAUCAUUAUGCAUUACUAGUACAGGAAGUAAUAAGGACAGACCGUAUUACUACUGUGCAAAACCGCGCACGAACCCACAAAGGUGCAAUUAUUUUAAAUGGUAUCAAGAUGAAUACUAAAAUUUCAAUAUCUAAUGUAAUAGUAUUUUUUUUUGUUUUCAAUAAGUGUUAAUUGGUAUACAUAAUAUACUGUAAAAACUUUUAUUUUAUUGAAUAAACAAUUCUAAGUAA